rnacentral:lncRNA from 1 species
AGGAGGGCGACACGUUGAAAAGGUGGCGUACAGUAAGAAGAAGAAGGAAAGAGAAGAAAGAAUUUUUUUUAAUUUUUUUCUGAGAGCAACCGGUAAAACCAGCCCAACUGUUGAAACAAAAGAGCGGGUUUUUUAAUUGAAAAAGACCAUCUAGAAGCCUUGAAGUUUCUCCUGUUGAGACUUGGGACAGGCGAUCAGCUGUUCAUGAUGCGAUCA